ensembl:lncRNA
UGUCAAGCAGCUACAUAGCACUGCUCACUUGCUUAACUGGGCAAAAUACCUGCUGUGGCAGCCCUCUGCCUUGACUGCCUCCGGGAGAAAGUUUCUUGGGAAUGUCCCUGGCAAGCCAAAUCAUUCUACAAUCUCUGAAACUGAAGACACAAAAUCACCAAUGGAACAGUGCUGUUUGGGUCAGAGGUGCAAAGAUUUCAGCUCUCCAUUUCAAGAGCCAUCCUCCAGCUCACAGCUGGUACAAAUGGGUGUGACUCAUUGCACAGCCAGAGGUUAUAAUGAAGUAUCCCACUCAUCCUUUAGCUCACCCUUUGUUCAAGACAAUGCAGAUUGCAGGAGGUUUCUGAGGAGGAGAAUCUGGGAUAAGUUGCUGGGAAGAAGGAAGAAGGAGAACAGUUCUAUUGGAAAGAAUGUCUUGAUGCUGAUAUGAAAAUGAUGUGGAAGUCAUGGGCUGAAUUAAAUAUUUUUCCAUGGUGGAAAAUUGAUGGGAAAGCUUCC